CGUGGCCAGAUGAGCCGCCUCAGCGAGGGCACCGCAGCCCGGCCCGCAGCCCAGCCAGCCCGGGCGCUGACCCCCACCGCGGCCCCCGGGACCGGCUGAGCGUCCAGCAACCAGAUGGGGAGGCAGGGGCAGGCGGGGGGCAGCGUGCUCUCCUCACCGUAGAGAUGGGAAGACUGAGGCCAGGGAGGAGGGGAGACCCCUGCCCACGACCACAGCACCAAGGAAGAGAGGGAGACGAAAAUGCUUCCUUACUGAGGGCGGAAGGAGCCCGAGUCCCAGAAGGGGAAAAUGAAUCUCAAGGAGGGACGGGGAAGAAGGGCCGAGCGCGGACCCACCGACGGAGCGCGGACAGGCGCCUGGUCAUUUGCUGGAGCCUUCAGAUAUGCACUCGCCGCUGUCCAGCCUCAGCCUCCGAAAUAGGCUCAACCCAGAUCUCAACGCCUCAGAGUUCCAGGCCCACCGACCCUGCCUGCUGGGAGCAAAGCACCGGUUUCAUUUCUCCACGGAUAUCAGCUCUGGCAGGAAGACUGCGCGCGCGGCAGACCGUCUUACUUCAAAGCCCAGCUUCUUUAAACGUUAUGCCGAGGAAGCUUUGUACCAGAAACUCGGGAUGGGACUGAACUUCCCUCUGUGCCCUCUUUGGAGGAAACGACUGUUAGCUUGUUAGGUGGACAGGGGAAUCGCUUAGAUGCCCACCCCAUGUGUCUGUCUCUCGGCAAGAUUUCCUAACGUGGGUCCUGAAAAAGUCGCUUCCAUCUUUGAGAAAUGCUCCAGACACUGUCUCGGUGGUGGAUAUUCUGCUGCCUCUUCACCCCGGGGUUUUGGCGGUGCAAAGGCAGCGGUGCCUAAGGGUGGGGGAGACCUUCCUCCCUCCUCAGCUCCAAACCUAUUUAAGCCAUAUGUGGACAGCUGGCCCUCAUCACCUCCCUGAUCAGAUAUCAUCAGGGACAAGAGAAGAAAAUUGAUAUUCCAAUUAUCUUAAACGAAACCUCUCCUCAAAAUCCCACCUACGGGCAAGAAAAUAAAAGGAGACAAGAGCCGAACCCUUUCACAGCACCAGCACCAGACACAAGCAUGCAGGGCUGGUGGGGGUGGGGUGCGGGUCUCGCCUCUUACCCUAGACAUAAAACUGGAGUGUUGUGGCUGAGAAUUAUAAAGAAUAAGAUAUGAUGUUA